CUACUCCAACAGGAUUUUGAAUCCAUGUGAAAAAACAAAUCUCAGAAAGCCUUGUCAGUUCAGUUCAGGAUGGAAGAUUUCUCCCACAAGACCCUGGUGAUGGGUACUCUGUCCUCUGAGGAAUCCUUGAGGAUCCUGAAAUGAGCAACCCUUGAGCCAGUGAGUCACCAUGUUUCCCUAACUCAACUCAAGAGCACACGAGGCAAAGGGAAGAGAAUCCAGCUCUCUUUCAUUUCCUACCUCAUCUCACUCCUCUGACACAGACCCCAGGCAGGACAGUCAGAGAGAGUGUGAAGAGAGGAAGCUACCACCUGUCCAAUUAGCCAGAUGGACUCCACUGGUUGGUCUUCAGAUGGUCAAAACCACACCAUCCUUCUCUGCAAAGGGGAAGGUUAAACACAGAGGAAAUAACAGGAAGACACACAGGGAGAGCACCAUGUGAAAAUGGAAGAUUGAAGUGAGGUACCGACAAGCCAGGGAAUGCCGAAGAUUGCUGCUAAACCCCCAGAAGCCCGGAAGAGGCAAGGGAGAAUUUCCCCUACAGAUUUUAGAGGGAGUAUGGCCCUGCUAGUAUCUUGAUUUGGGGCUUCUAGCUUCUAGAACUGGGAGACAGUAAAUUUCUGUUGUUUUAAACACCCAGUUUGUGCUACUUCAUUAUGACAGCCUUAGAAAACUAAUACAUUAACCAAGUCUUCUUCAGGAUUCCUUUUUUCCCCUUCAUUAUUAUGUUGAGUUUGACUAGCUGAAGCUGAAUGGCUGUUCUGAGGUUCUCUUUUGGAAAAUUAUCUUUCUUGACUUCAAAGAGGGAAUUUAAUCUUAGUUCCUUGCUGUUACAAAUGAAGCUGUAAGAAAAAAGUUUCUCAGUUAAAGGAAGUUCCCAUUUUGUGUUUCAAAACCUAAGAAAGGUUAGUGAUAAGAUCUGAAGAAGCUCUGGCUCAUACAACGCCUUGGCAUUACAGCUUUAGCUCAAAAGGCAAUGCUUCCUCCCUCUCCCUCAAAAUGAAUGAGAGUUUAAAUGACAAAAGACAUUACUUGGAUGACAGCUCAGCCUCUGCCAAUACCAUCUUGCAUCUGCAAAACUGCUUAUCACUGACUACAUGCAGACGAGAGCAAAGGAUAUCUCUGUGCUUCGCAGAUACUUCUAGCAGCAGUAAGAUCCAUCUCCACGUUGUAACCCAUAUGCCUGUAGGCACGGCAGUGUUCCAGCUACUCACCAAUCUAAGUGAAUUAAAAAUGUGGAGCCCUGUUCCCAUCUUUUCCAAUAAGAUAGGUGAAAAUAUAACUCCCUGGGAUAGAGGGAAAAAAAAAUCACUUACAGCUUUAAUUAUAGUGAGACUUUUUAAAAAUUUCUACUUAUUUCAUUAUUUUUAGAGGGGCCAAAAUAUUUAUUGAUACCACUUUAUCAUAGAAUGCUUUCCAACCAUUCAUCUGAUAAUCUAUUUUUUUCAACAGUAGAUAUUAAAAUAGAAAGCUACCCUUCACUGAGAGCUUGCUAUGCUCUCUAUGCAUACUAUUCUAGGUUCUUUACCUUAUCACCUUAACUCCUACAUAUGGUGGAUGCUACUAUUACCCUAUCUUACAGCUAGGAAGACUGAGUGAUGGUCACUUGCUCAAGGUUCCACAUCCAAUUUUACAGAAUCAAUACUUGAAACCAAAUCUCUAACUUCAGAACCCAAAUUCAUAACUACUAAGCUUUCCUGCCUCUGUUGAGCACUCUUAGGUGUCAUAUAUUGUUCUAAGAAAAAGGGAGAACAAGAUUUUUUUUUAAAUGAUUAUGUUCCCUGUGGUCAAGAAAUUACAGUUUAGGAAGGAGAAACAGCGAAUAUCCAUCUCAUUAUCAAAGAGUCUGUUAAUUCCAGAAACAUAGCUAUUAUUACACUGCCAUACUCAUAUUAAAAUCUCUUAAUACAUGAUGCCAAGGACUGUCCAUUUACAGAAUUUAUUUAAAACAAGGAUUUCAGAGAAAAUAAUCUAAAUGGAUGUCAGAAAAUGAGAUAAUCAAAAUAUAUACAUAUGCUGACUUGAAACUCAAAUUGAAAUAAUCUAGAAGGCCAGCCAACCUGUCCUCUCUUGGUAACCUAAUAAGCAGUCAUCAACAGUCUGGCAAAGAUGGACUUCUUUUUCUCUCCUGGCCAAAAGCUUCCUGGAGGAGAACUUGUCUCUCCUCUCUUUAGGCAGAUUCCAAAUAUCUACCAGGAGUCCCCUUACUGUGAUCAUGUAUGAAAUCUUCUGCUAUAGUCCAGAACAGCAUGCAUUCCCAACAUUCAAGCUUCAUUCAAAUUCUUGCUUGUUUUUGGCCUAGUUUCUUGAAGCUCCCUAAGGCUGAGGGUUACUGCUAAGUGCUGCCUUAUCCAAUUAUUAGUCCCGUACAGCCUUGUGACAUUUUGUAGCUGAAAUAAACCUUAGAGAUCAUUUCCUUGAACCUGCUCAUUACUCUGUCACCCCUCAGCAUUUAUGCAAUUACUUUGCUCUGUUUAAUUUGUAUUUAUACAGUUGUUGCUUUGGUAGAGUACUUAGAAAUGCUUCCUCUGUAUAUUUUCCCUCAGUUAGAUUCCAGGAUCCUCAAGGACAGGGAGUGUGUGAGCAUACAUGAUCUUUGUUUUUGCUACUCUUUACAUUGGUUUGGGGAUAAUGGAUGCUCAGUGAAAGUUGUUAAAUGGACAAUCUACAAAAUGAAAAGUAGAAUAAAUAGAAAGUAUGUUUAUGUACCUUUUUUCUUCAUUUAAUUGAGCAAGACCACCUACUCCACAAUUUUUCUAAACUAAUUUAAAAAAAGGAUUUAAAAUCAGUUUUGGACUUGGGUUAUCUUAUACAGUCUUUAUGAUAUCAAUGCAUUUUAAACAUCUGUCCUUAUGUUGCUUUGAACUUUUUGGUUAUCGAGAACAGAAACGCAUUCAUGAUUAAAUAAGAUAAAAUUUAAUAGAAUUACUAUGAGAUCACAAAAGCAGGGCCUCUGAUACCAUCAGAAAAUCCUGCCACCUAUCCUGUGCCCCCUUUACACAUAGAAUUUAUUUAUCUCUUGCUCGAUAGUUCCCUCUCCUUCAGACAACCAUUGAGUAAAAUAUAAGGUGGAUACCUAGUUUACACGUUGCAAGUAAUACAGUGAAUCUCCUGAUCCCAAUUCCAAAUUUCCUAAGGAAGGGACUAUAAUAGAUCUAGUUUGAGUCUUCUGACAACCCCUGAACUGUGCCCAGAUAAUCAGGCUCAUGUAAAAUAUUAGUUAUUUUCAUUCUAACAAGGAGAGAAGUUGAUGAAAAUAAUUUCUCAAGGGGAAAAAAAUUAGACCUAGAUGGAAAAAAAAAUCAAUGGGAAUCUAGUAAAAUAUCUAUGCCUAUACAUUCAGUUACUAGUUUUCUAAAUUUUGAUUCAGAGACUAACACCCCAACAAUUUAUUUCUUGCACAAAGAAGUGUUCAAAUGUUAGUUGUUAGUAUUCCUUAUGAAAAGAAACUAUUUAGUAAAUGUAUGCAGGUCAUUACAGUCUUUUUUUUCUAUUUUAUUGCACUUUAGGUUCUGGGGUACAUGUGAAGAACAUGCAGGAUUGUUGCAUAGGUACAUAGAUGGCAAUGUGGUUUUCUGCCUCCAUCCUCAUCACCUAUAUCUGGCAUUUCUCCCCAUGUUAUCCCACCCCAACUUCCUAACCCCUGGAGUCCCUCUCUUAGUCCCCCCACAACAGACCACAGUGUGUGAUGAUCCCAUCCUGUGUCCAUGUGUUCUCAUUGUUCAACACCCACCUAUGAGUGAGAACAUGCAGUAUUUGAAUUUCUGUUCUUGUGUCAGUUUGCUGAGAAUGAUGGUUUUUAGGUUCAUCUAUAUCCUUACAAAGGACACGAACUCAUUGUUUUUUAUGGCUGCAUGUAGUCCAUGGCGUAUAUGUGCCACAUUUUCCUUGUCCAGUCUAUCAUCAAUGGGCAUUUGGGUUGGUUCCAGGUCUUUGCUAUUGUAAACAGUGCACACAAUGAACAUAUGUGUGCAUGUGUCUUUAUAAUAGAAGGAUUUAUAAUCCUUUGGGUAUAUACCUAGUAAUGGGAUUGCUAGGUCAAAUGGAAUUUCUAUUUCUAUGUCUUUGAGGAAUUGUCACACUGUCUUCCAUAAUGAUUGAACUAGUUUACACUUCACCAAGAGUGUAAAAGGGUUCCUAUUUCUCCACAUCCUCUCCAGCAUCUGUUGCCUCCAGAUUUUUUCAUGAUCAUCAUUCUAACUAGUGUGAGAUGGUAUCUCAGUGUGAUUUUGAUUUGCAUUUCUCUAAUGACCAGUGAUGAUGAGCAUUUUUUCAUAUGUUUACUGGCCUCAUAUAUGUCUUCUUUUGAAGUGUCUGUUCAUAUCCUUUGUCCACUUUUGAAUGGCUUCAUUUAUUUUUUUCUUGUAAAUCUAUUUUAGUUCUUUGUAGAUGCUAGAUAUUAGCCCUUUGUCAGAUGGGUAGAUUGCAAAAACUUUUUCCCAUUCUGUUGGUUGCUAGUUCACUCUGAUGAUUGUUUCUUUCACUGUGCAGAAGCUCUGGAGUUUAAUAAGUUCCCAUUUCUGUAUUUUGGCUUUUGUUGCCAAUGCCUUUGGUGUUCUAGUCAUGAAGUCCUUGCCUAUGCCUAAGUCCUGAAUGGUUUUGCCUGGGUUUUCUUAUAGGGUUUUUAUAGUGUUAGGUCUUAUGUUUAAGUUGUUAAUCCAUCUGGAAUUAAUUUUAGUGUAAGGUGUCAAGGAGGGUCCAGUUUCUGUUUUCUGCACAUGUCUACCCAGUCUUCCCAACACUGUUUAUGAAACAGGGAAUCCUUUCCCCAUUGCUUAUUUUUGUGAGGUUGGUCAAAGAUCAGAUGGUUGUCGAUGUGCAGCAUUGCCUCCAAGGUCUCUGUUCUGUUCCAUUGGUCUAAAUGUCUGUUUUGGUACCAGUACCAUGCUGUUUUGAUUACUGUAGCCCUGUAGUAUAGUUUGAAGUCAGGUAGUGUGAUGCCUCCGGCUUUGUUCUUUUUGCUUAGAAUUGACUUGGCUAUGCAGGCUCUCUUUUCUUCCAUAUGAAGUUUAAGGUGUAUUUUUCCAGUUCUGUGAAGAGAGUCAUAGGUAGCUUGAUGGGAAUAGUGUUGAAUCUAUAAAAUUAUUUUUGACAGUAUGGCCAUUUCACAAUAUUGAUCCUUUCUAACCAUGAGCAUGAAAUGUUUUUCCAUCUGUUUGUGUCCUCUCUUAUUUCAUUGAGCAGGGGUUUAUAAUUCUCCUUGAAGAGGUCCUUUACAUCCUUUGUUAGUUGUAUUUCUAGGUAUUUUAUUCACUUUUUAGCAAUUGUGAAUGGCAGAUCAUUCUUGAUUUGGCUCUCUUUAAAUCUGUUAUUGGUGUAUAGGAAUGCUUGUGAUUUCUGCACAUUGAUUUUUGUAUCCUGAGACUUUGCUGAAGUUGCUUAUCAGCUUAAGGAGAUUUUGGGCCUAGACAAUGAGGUCUUCUAAAUAUACAAUCACGUCAUCUGCAAAUAGAGACAAUUUGACUUCCUGCUUUCCUAAUUGAAUACCCUUUAUUUCUUUUUCUUUCCUGAUUGCUCUGGUUAGAACUUCCAAUAUUAUAUUGAAAAGGAGUGGUCAGAGAGGGCUUCCGUGACUAGUGCCACAUUUCAAAGGGAAUGCUUCCAGUCUUUGCCCACUCAGUAUGAUAUUGUCUGUGGGUUUGUCAUUAAUAGCUUUUAUUAUUUUGAGAUAUAUUCCGUCGAUACCUAGUUUAUUGAGAGUUUUUAGCAUAAAGGGCUGCUGAAUUUGGUCAAAGGCCUUCACUGCAUCUAUUGAGAUAAUUAUGUGGUUUUUGUCUUUGGUUCUGUUUAUGUGGUGAAUUACAUUUAUAGACUUG